rnacentral:rRNA from 1 species
AGUGAACGCUGGCGGUAGGCCUAACACAUGCUAGUCGAACGGCAGCACAGGAGAGCUUGCUCUCUGGGUGGCGAGUGGCGGACGGGUGAGGAAUACGUCGGAAUCUACUCUGUCGUGGGGGAUAACGUAGGGAAACUUACGCUAAUACCGCAUACGACCUACGGGUGAAAGCAGGGGACCUUCGGGCCUUGCGCGAUUGAAUGAGCCGAUGUCGGAUUAGCUAGUUGGCGGGGUAAAGGCCCACCAAGGCGACGAUCCGUAGCUGGUCUGAGAGGAUGAUCAGCCACACUGGAACUGAGACACGGUCCAGACUCCUACGGGAGGCAGCAGUGGGGAAUAUUGGACAAUGGGCGCAAGCCUGAUCCAGCCAUACCGCGUGGGUGAAGAAGGCCUUCGGGUUGUAAAGCCCUUUUGUUGGGAAAGAAAUCCAGCUGGCUAAUACCCGGUUGGGAUGACGGUACCCAAAGAAUAAGCACCGGCUAACUUCGUGCCAGCAGCCGCCGUAA